CAACGCGUUGUGAGCGGUUGUGUUGAGAGUACUUGUGCGGUUUUAUAAAUAAGGCGGCUGCCAGCAAACCUGAGUUAAAGAAAUAAAUCAAUCACAGCGUAGUACAUUUCUGCGCAACUGCGUUCAAACCAACUAGGGAAGAGAGCAAAACGCGUGAAAACGGUGGAACAGAAGAAAGGAAUAAUUUAAAUUUUUCAUGGUUUGAGUUAUUUCACCCAGUGUACAUUAGUUUUUGAAGCAUAAGCGUAAAAAAAAAAACGAUUGCUAUCGAAAAAAGUGCGGUAAAAGCUAUAACUUAAAAUAUAAAAAGAUCCAAAACUUGUGAGUGUGCAAUAUACAUACUACAUAUAUACAGACGUACAUAUUACAUACAAAACAAAAAAGAUUGAAACAUCGAACUAAAAAAGUGUUCCAAAAAGCCUCUGCAGCAACAAAACCAACGAAGUACAUCCAUCACAAACAGUUUCGGUUGAAAAUUUUACAUCAGCUCAGAGUCGCAUUUUCAAACACCUCGUAAGUUGCAUUUAAAUCGCCACCAUUGCUCCCCAACCAGUAAGCAGUACAAUGAAUGGUCAAAGCUAUGAGCUGAACCAUACGAACGGUGAUAUUAUAUCACAAAAUCAGCAAAAGGGCUGGUGGACAAUCGGUCUCAUCAAUGGCGCACACAGGUACAUGACGGCCGAGACAUUCGGUUUCAAAUUGAAUGCGAACGGCGCAAGCCUGAAGAAGAAACAAUUGUGGACAUUGGAGCCAUCGAAUACCGGCG